rnacentral:misc_RNA from 1 species
AGCGGACCUAAGAACGCUCGGCCCCGCCUACUCGGCAGAGCGCUCUUCCGGAUGAGCGGUCCGCGUAAGAGCGAAGAGCGCGGGGGCCACUGCGUAGAGCCCGAUGAGCAGGUAAUAGACGGCGCCGGUGAUGGAGUCCCGCCGGAACAGGAUCUCCGGCGGCGUCAUCCCUCGGAGGCUGAUGCCGACGGCGAGAUCGGCGAGGAGAACCAUCGCCGCAGCGGCGACCCCGGAGCCGAAAAGUUCCUGCCACGUCAGUCGUCGGAAGAUCCGGUUCACCAGCCAGGCGACGAACAGGAUCGUCGCCAACAUAACAGGCGCCUCGGCCAAUUCCGCGUUCCGUUCGCCGAUCUCGGGAGCGACGAAAACGGCGCGGACGGCUCCGAAGGCGAAUCCGGCGCCGAAGACCAGGGCGAAGUACAGGAGCGCGGCUCCCGCUUGGCGCAAUAUCGUGACCACGCGGCGA